rnacentral:rRNA from 1 species
GGGGUAGANUCCACGUGUAGCAGUGAAAUGCGUAGAGAUGUGAAGAAUACCAUUGCGAAGGCCAGCCCNNGGGAUAAUACUGACGCUCAUGCACGAAGCGUGGGGAGCAAACAGGAUUAGAUACCUGGUAGUCCACGCCUAAACGAUGCUGACUAGUUGUUCGGGAAUUUAUUCUGAGUAACGUAGCUAACGCGUGAAGUCAGCCGCUGGGGAGUACGGUCGCAAGAUUAAAACUCAAAGGAAUUGACGGGGACCCGCACAAGCGGUGGAUGAUGUGGAUUAAUUCGAUGCAACGCGAAAAACCUUACCUACCCUUGACAUGCCACUAACGAAGUAGAGAUACAUUAGGUGCCCGUAAGAGAAAAGUGGACACAGGUGCUGCAUGGCUGUCGUCAGCUCGUGUCGUGAGAUGUUGGGUUAAGUCCCGCAACGAGCGCAACCCUUGUCUUUAGUUGCUACGCAAGAGCACUCUAAAGAGACUGCCGGUGACAAACCGGAGGAAGGUGGGGAUGACGUCAAGUCCUCAUGGCCCUUAUGGGUAGGGCUUCACACGUCAUACAAUGGUGCAUACAGAGGGUUGCCAACCCGCGAGGGGGAGCUAAUCUCAGAAAAUGCAUCGUAGUCCGGAUCGUAGUCUGCAACUCGACUACGUGAAGCUGGAAUCGCUAGUAAUCGCGGAUCAGAAUGUCGCGGUGAAUACGUUCCCGGGUCUUGUACACACCGCCCGUCACACCAUGGGAGUGGGUUUUGCCAGAAGCCGUUAGCCUAACCGCAAGGAGGGCGACGACCACGGCAGGGUUCAUGACUGGGGUGAAGUCGUAACAAGGUAGCCGUAUCGGAAGGUGCGGCUGGAUCACCUCCUUUCU